GGAUUAGGCAUGCAAGUCGAACGAGGAUAUAUCCUUCGGGAUAUAAGCCGAGUGGCGCAAGGGUGAGUAAUGCAUAGAUUACCUGCCUCUAGGAUAAGGACAACUUUGUGAAAACGAAGCUAAUACUUAAUAAUACAAAAGAAAAUAAUUUUCUUUUGUCAAUGGGAGGGUAGCAAUACCUUUUGCCUAGAGAGGGGUUUAUGUCCUAUCAGCUUGUUGGUGGGGUAAUGGCCUACCAAGGCGAAGACGGGUAGCCGGUCUUAGAGGAUGGUCGGCCACACUGGGACUGAGACACUGCCCAGACUUCUACGGAAGGCUGCAGUCGAGAAUCUUUCGCAAUGCCCGAAAGGGUGACGAAGCGACGCCGCGUGAGUGAGGAAGGCCUUAGGGUUGUAAAGCUCUGUCAGGAGUUAAGAAAUAUAAGUGUGUUAAUACCACGUUUAUUUGACGAAGGCUCCAAAGGAAGCCACGGCUAACUCUGUGCCAGCAGCCGCGGUAAUACAGAGGUGGCAAGCGUUGUUCGGAAUUAUUGGGCGUAAAGAGCACGUAGGUGGGUUUGUAAGUCAGAUGUGAAAGCCUUCUGCUCAACGGAAGAAUUGCAUCUGAAACUGCAAGUCUUGAGUGUAGGAGGGGAGAAUGGAACUUCUGGUGGAGCGGUGAAAUGCGUAGAUAUCAGAAGGAACGCCGGCGGCGAAAGCGAUUCUCUGGCCUAUUACUGACGCUCAGUGUGCGAAAGCUAGGGGAGCAAACGGGAUUAGAUACCCCGGUAGUCCUAGCCGUAAACGAUGGGCACUAAGUAGAGGGAAUUACCGAUGUUCUCUCUGCCGUAGCUAACGCAUUAAGUGCCCCGCCUGGGGAGUACGGCCGCAAGGCUAAAACUCAAAAGAAUUGACGGGGGCUCGCACAAGCGGUGGAGCAUGUGGCUUAAUUCGAUGCAACGCGAAAAACCUUACCGGGGCUUGACAUGGUAGAAGUAGGAACCCGAAAGGGUAACGAACGGUAUCCAGUCCAUAGCUAUCAUAGGUGUUGCAUGGCUGUCGUCAGCUCGUGUCGUGAGACGUUGGGUUAAGUCCCCUAACGAGCGAAACCCUUGUUUUUAGUUACCAGCGGGUUAUGCCGGGUACUCUAGAAAGACUGCCGUCGUCAAGACGGAGGAAGGUGGGGAUGACGUCAAGUCAUCAUGGCCCUUAUGCCCCGGGCUGCACACGUGCUACAAUGGUCGGUACAAACGGAAGCGAAGCCGAGAGGUGAAGCGAAUCCUAAAAAGCCGAUCUCAGUUCGGAUUGGAGGCUGAAAUUCGCCUCCAUGGAGUUGGAAUCGCUAGUAAUCGCGGAUCAGCAAUGCCGCGGUGAAUAUGUUCCCGAGCCUUGUACACACCGCCCGU
rnacentral:rRNA from 1 species